GUCUAUGGCUGUACCACCCUGAAUGUGCCUGAUCCUGGAAGCUAAGCAGGGAUGGGUCUGGUUAUUACUUGGAUGGGAGACUGCCUGGGAAUACUGGGUGCUGUAGGCA
rnacentral:rRNA from 1 species